UUUCCGUAGGUGAACCUGCGGAAGGAUCAUUAUUGAAUAAACUUGGUUGGGUUGCUGCUGGCUCUCAGGAGCAUGUGCACACUCAUUCCAUUUCAACCACCUGUGCACACACUGUAGGCCUGAAUGGAACUUUUCGAGGAAACUCGGUUUGAGGACUGCUGUGAAAAUCAGCUGUUCUUGCAUUCCAGGUCUAUGUUUUUAACAUAUACUCUGUAACAAGUCAUGGAAUGUUAAUCAUUGGCCUUCUGUGCCUUUUAAAAAUAUAAUACAACUUUCAACAACGGAUCUCUUGGCUCUC
rnacentral:misc_RNA from 1 species